AAAAAACACAACUGGACACCACUGGAAGUACCGUUUGCUCAAUAUUCUUAAAUGCAUUCCAGUUUUGAUAAGAAACCAUAAAGACAAACUGGGUCCUCAUUGCCACCAUGGCUCACAUAUUUGUUAUAAACUAUAAAUGUUUCACAAAUUGCCUCCCAGGGUCCUACUGGAAGGAAGGGCAGAAUAUAAAUCAAAUAAUAAAUAAUAAAUAAACAAAUGAAGCUAAAUGAUUCUGUUGAAUGUGCGCAGCUUAGGAGCAAAUAAUGCCUCCUCUGCAAAGCAUUAGCUCCAGAAGAUCUGAGUGGAUUAAGUGUUGUGAAGAAAUGUAGAAAGAAUACUUGGCUAUGAUUAUGCACGUAGUGAGCAGAUCAGUUUUACAGAGUGGCUUUUCUGUACGGUACUGCACUUCCAAAGAAUGUAAUGUAUAGCACGGUAUAUCCACAUUACACAUAAGUAAUAUAAAAUAAUUGAUUUUUCAGAAGGCUUAUCCAGCGUGUGGCAAAGUGAAGAAUACUGGCCCGGUCCAUCUGAAGCAUUUAUUGCUAUCAACGGUCAAAGUGGAUAGAAAGAGAGGUACAGCGAAUUAGGAAAAAUUAAUGGAGUUCAAGGAAAAAACAUUCAUCCAUAGGGAUCUAAUAUAAAAUCAUGGGAGUGUUAGAAAAAUGAAAAAUCGACUUUAAUCCCAGCGUACCUGGGUAAAAUUAUUAGCUCUAUACGAACUGAAUACAGAAAUUAAUUCUACAGUCUGGGUUUGGGCAAUAUCAAGAAACCUUUUUCUCUCCCCCCAGCCUCUGACAAUUUCUUAUGGACUGAGAUGCUGGAACUGAUCCAGGACAGACUCUAAUAUGUUCUAAUAUAUUAGAUCUUAAAUUCAGUUGUGUUAGCCACAUUCUCUCCUACUUAGGUCUAGUCACAAAUAACUCAGGCAUAUACAUAGAUGAGCUCAGCAAGACUUUGGAUUUGCUUCCAAAAGGUCAACAUUUCAAAAACCAGGGAUGUCAUGCAGCUGUUAAUAUGGGUGAAAUCCAAUGUAAUGCAAACAGGCAUCUACUCAUGCAAUGGGGCUUUUCCUUCCUUGUUCGCUCCCCGCAGCCCUCCACCCCAUCCCAACAUCUGCUCAAGAGGGUUAUGGGACCCUCACUUGGUGCAAAGCCAUCCAUAUUGUUCCAGUGAUAAUAAAUCUAUUGUUAUGAA